rnacentral:tRNA from 1 species
GGCCUGGUGGCUCAGCUGGUUAGAGCGCCGCCCUGUCACGGCGGAGGUCGUGGGUCCGAAUCCCAUCCGGGUCG